CCCUUAGAUGUUCUGGGCCGCACGCGCGCUACACUGAUGCAUUCAACGAGUCUAAAACCUGCUCUGAUAGGGGUGGGUAAUCUUUUGAAUGUGCAUCGUGAUUGGGAUAGAUGAUUGCAAUUUUUCAUCUUCAACGAGGAAUGCCUAGUAAACGCAAGUCAUCAGCUUGCAUUGAUUACGUCCCUGCCCUUUGUACACACCGCCCGUCGCUCCUACCGAUUGAAUGAUCCGAUGAAUAUCAUGGAUUGAGGAUGCAAGUAGGUUCGCCUAUCUUCAUCUUCGAGAAGUGAAGUAAAUCUUAUCAUUUAGAGGAAGGAGAAGGCGUAACA
rnacentral:rRNA from 1 species